GACGAACGCUGGCGGCGUGCUUAACACAUGCAAGUCGAGCGGUCCGGCAUUUAACAUUGAGUAUUCAGAGCUGAGUUGGCGAUUGAGCUGGCGUCAAGCAAAAACUUCCUUAAUAAUAUAAAUUAAAGUUUUUGCUUCACGCGCUAAAAGUGCCAACACAUGCGAAUCUGAGUAUUGAAUGUUAAAUGUCGGAUAGCGGCGGACGGGUGAGUAACGCGUGGGCAACCUGCCUCAUACAGGGGGAUAACACUGGGAAACUAGUGCUAAUACCGCAUAACAUAGAGAAGUGGCAUCACUUCACUAUCAAAGGAGCAAUCCGGUAUGAGAUGGGCCCGCGUCCGAUUAGCUAGUUGGUGAGGUAACGGCUCACCAAGGCGACGAUCGGUAGCCGAACUGAGAGGUUGAUCGGCCACAUUGGGACUGAGACACGGCCCAGACUCCUACGGGAGCAGCAGUGGGGAAUAUGCGCAAGUGGGGGAAA
rnacentral:rRNA from 1 species